rnacentral:lncRNA from 1 species
UGCACUCUAACACAAAAAGCUGCCGCCUCACCCCCCCAAAUUCCAAGAAAUUGAAACCAUUGUAUUCUUUGAAUUAAAAAAGCCACACAACACACACAUUCACAGAAUGAAGAAGAGUUAGAUUAGGACAUUUUGAUACUCUCUUGAGACACACACAGAGCCGAAAAAACCAAAUUCUAUACCAACAAGCUGAAUUAGUAGCCACAGCUCAAAAACCCUGAAACUACACCAAAUAAGUGCGAAAUUCAGCUCGAAAUCGCUAUCCAAAUCUUGUCAAGUGAAUCCGUUUCUAGUUACCGUUGAGGUUCGAGAUCUGGUUUAAUAGCUCAUUUUUGCUUUGCUACUUUGAAAACUCUCUUCGUCGACUCACCAUCGAAGGAUAUGCAGCUGUGAGGUUCAGCUCUUUUCAUUUUGUAUAGAUCAAUAACUUUACAUUAUAUUUUGAUAAAUUUGAAUCUACAUUGAUCUGUUUAAUUUUGGUUGGUUUCCUUGUUUAUUUUAUUCAAUGUUUGUCUUUCUUUUCCUUUGAACUAAGCCUUAUAAAUCUGGCCUAAAACUCUGAAUAAUAAAAACAAAUUGAUUAUGUUGAAUUUAGGGGUUGUUCUGACGGUAAGCAACCCCUACUUUCAACCGAGAGAUUGUGAGUUCGAGUUUCCUAAAGAGCAAGGUGGGAAGUUCUUGGAGAGAAGGAUGUCGGAGGUUUAUUUGGAAACAAUCUCUCUACCCAAAGGUAGGAAUAAAGUGAGCGUACACACUACCCUUCUCAGACCCCACUAAAUAAGAUUAUAUUGAGUUGUUGUACGUUGAAUUGAAGUAGUAGCACAUUAAAAUCACUGGAUCGUGGGUUUUUGGAUUUUAAAAGCAAAAUAUAGGUUUGCAUUUCCCAAGAAAAAUUGGUAGUAGCUGAGAAUCUUAUUGGUAAAAUUCAAUUUAAAUAACUCAGCUGCUUUAGGAAUUAAGUUUUGAUCGAUACUAUUUAGAGUGCAUGUGCAAUUAUUACUGUGAAGGUAAAUGCCAGCUGCACAAGCAUUAAGUCCUUUAUAUGUGGUUGGAAAUAAGAAAUCAAUAUGAUGUUUUUCAAGUAUUGUAAUAUUGAAACAUUACUGAUUUCGCUUUUUUGGGAAAAAGUUGAAUUUUGGGAUCUUAUUACAUAAAAAUAUUUAAAUUUUGGCUUUAUAUACCUUAUAAAAAAACUAAAUACAAAGAGAUUGUCAAUUUUGGCUAACACGAGGCAUACAUAUAAAUUUUCUUUUUCUCAUCUGUUUUAAUGCGUGAUAUUGUCCAUUUGAUUGGAACAUAAUGGAUGGACAAAUUUGAAUAAUUUUAAUGACCGACCAUGUUAGUUUUAAUAAAUCGGGAUGUGUCGUGCCAAACAAAAAUCUCAAAAGCAUGAUCCUCGCUUGGUUGAUAUUUUAGUCUUUAGAUUCGAGGCGUGCCAUUUAGCAAAUUCUAUGGCCCUCGCAAAAUUUAAAAAUGCGUAAUUUUUUUAGGUAUGUUAGUUAAAAUCUACCUUCCUAAAUACGGGUGCGCAUUUAUGUGACCCAAAUCUAAAUCAGUGGAGUUGAAAUAUGUCUAAAAUUGCGUGUGCAUUUAUGUGACGUGAUUCGUGAUAUGUUUUAAUGACAUUGCAAAUUUUCUUAAAAAAUAUAUAUAUUAAAAGUGGUAAAUAAUUUAAAAUUGCACUAUGGGAUGAACAUGUAAAAAAAUUAGAAUUUUAGCCAAUUGUAAUAGUUUAAAAGACCGUGCUAGAACCACGGGAUCCGAGGGUGCCUAACACCUUCCCUCAGGUCAACAGAAUUCCUUACUUAGAAUUUCUGGUUCGCACACUUCAAAAAAAAAGUCGAAAUCUUCCUCGAUUUGGGAUUUAAAAAAUAAACCGGUGACUUGGGACACCAGAAAAUAAAUCAUCCCAAGUGGCGACUCUAACAAAUAAAUAAUUUCAUUUCGAAUAAUAUUACUUUAAUAGGAAAAACUCUCUUAUACGUUUGUCCUUCGGGGUAGCCGUGUAAAAAGGAGGUGUGACAUACAUGGGAGGCCUUUGAAAAUCUUUUCCCCGAUUACCUUGAUUUCUAUUAUUAUUCCACCCUCCUUGAUAGUUGUUGUUGCUCCAAUUAUUGUUGUUCCAGUUCCAGCUGCCUUGAUUGCUACCUUGAUCACCCCAAUUAGUGCAUUGGUUGUUGUUGUUCCAAUUACCACCAUCUUCUUGUCAAUUGCCCCAAUUUUCUUGGGGACGCCAUUGAUGAUUUCCUAGAUUUCCUCUAUUUCCUUGGUAGUUAUUGACAUAUUGACAUUCCUCGCUUUGAUCAUCAUAGCAAUCAUUCGAAUAACCACCACCAUCAUUGUUGUUAUCAAAUUGCUCACAAUUACCUUGAGGUUGUUGUUGCCCUCUUUGUUCUUUUCAACACAGAAACACCGUCCAUGGCAUUGACUUGGCGCGAUUUUGGACUUGUUGUAAUUGCGCCUUCGCCAAUUGGUUCAUAGUGGUUGACAACUCCGCUAUAGCUUGCCCAUGGUCAUGAAACUCCUUAUGUAAAUAAAUAGCUAUAGGGUCACCUUGAGGAACGUUAGGCCUACUUUGUCAUGCCGAAGAGCUGUCGGCCAUUUCAUCAAGUACAUCACAUGUAUCUUCGUAAGAAAGUUCCAUAAAGUUUCUUCCGGCCAAUUGAUUCAUAAUGCAUUGAUUUGUGGUGUUGAUGCCCCGAUAAAAGGUUUGUUGGAUCAUCGUCUUGGUCAUGUCGUUAUUAGGGCACUCCUUCACCAUUGUUCUAUAUCUCUCCCAAAUUUCUUGCAAAGGUUCCAUUGGCUCUUGCUUCAAGGCUAAGAUUUCAUCAUGAAGUGUCGCCAUAUGACUUGGUGAGAAAAACUUGCCAAUGAAUUUAUCCGCCAACUCAUCCCAUGUUGUGAUGGAAUGUUGGGGAGCCUUUCUAACCAAUCCAAUGCUUUACCCCGAAGAGAGAAUGGGAAAAGCCUCAAUCUUAAAGCAUCCUCGGACACGUUUGUCUACUUGCUACCCCAGCAUGUAUCUAUGAACCCCUUCAAGUGCUUGUAGCAAUCCAAUGCUUUACCCCUAAGAAAGAAUGGGAAAAGCCUCAAUCUCAAAACAUUCUCGGACACGUUUGUCUGCUUGCUACCCCAGUAUGUAUCUAUGAACCCCUUCAAAUGCUAGUAGACAUUAUGAUUGGAGGCGUCCGUAAAUAUCCUCUUUGCUCGAGAAAGGUCAACAUGAAAUAUGUGAUUUGAAAGUUCCCCACCUGGAUUCGGGGAGGAACAAUAGCAGCCACAUACCCUUGAUUUGGGAGAACUCUUGGGGCCACUCUUGGCGGUGGCGGAUGAGGGUCUGGGAUAGGAUUGUCGUGAUAUGCAUUGGCCUGACAGCCUCUACGUGCAGCUUGAGGUAAAUUAGAAACCUCUUCUUGAUCAAGAUUAUCUACUUAUUCCCCCACCAUGACAUUGACAAGAGGGUCAUUUGCAUUAAGAGCCAUGUAUACGUGAGUGAUUAACACAAACAAAAUUAGUAAACAAGAAGGAAAGAAAAGCAAAACACAAAACUAACUAAACAGAUAGUCAACCCCGUAAGCUCCCUGUUAACAGUGCCAAAAAGUGAUUGAUGCCAACUCGAUGCUACACCAAGGUAGGAAGAGCGGGUCACACUAGCUUUUACCCGAAUAGAGAUCGGGAUCAAUUUCCUCAGGGAGUUAGUAGUGGAGUAGGAAUUCCUGUCUAGUCUAGAGAUGUGUUUGUACUCCUUAUGUCACUUAAAACAUUCUUGGUUUUUGAUUUUAUAUCUAUUAUUAUACAACUAAUGAUUAAUACUAAAUUACGUUAUGAGAAUAUUGCUAAGCUGUAUCUAAUGGGAAGAAAGGCACAGGGGUUAUGGCAUCAUCUAAGUGUCUAAUUGACGGGUAGAUGUUACUAAGGAUAGAUUGACAUAUUUGGGGCUUAUGCUAUAAACAUUGUACAAUUUUAGCCGCUCUCACACCUCUCGGUAAAGAGAAUGAUUUUGCCCAAUUGACUCUCUCGAGAUCAAAUGGGUAGGCAAAUUAGGCCAAACAACUAGGGUUCAAGUAGGGUGAUUACUCUCUCAAGAUUUAACCCGUUAAUUGGGACUAUCAUUUCUCAUGAGUCAAUUCUAAUUCUUUGUUGGGUCAAUUUUGGGGUCAUAGACUCUCUUUCUCAAGAAGAGUCAAACCAGCUGACCUUGAUCAAUGUUUGCAACCACUAAUUCUUAAAUAAAAACAUAAAACCGACUCAAAUAGCAAACACCCAAUAUCAAUCUAACCCUAAAUAGUAACACCGAUCAAUUACCCAUACUAGGGUAGAACCACAACCCUAGCUAAUGGGUUUAGCUACACAUGAUUAAGGAAGAAAAUGAACAAAUAGAUGAAGAGAUAAACAUAUUAAUUAAUUACUAAGAAUAAAUCACAAUAAUCUAUCAUUAAUGAAGAGCAAAGGUGCCAAAAAUGGCUACAAAAUUGAGUCUCACGAGUGCAGCUAAGUCUGGAAUGUAAAUAUUGACAUAAAAAUGGUAAAAUGUUCUAUUUAUACUAGGCUGGAAAAACUGGACAAAAAUAUCCCUAGGAGGUCAGUGCGGGCCGAACAAAAGCAACCACGACCGUACUAGCUCUUUUGACUUCACUAUUUAGCUCUUUGAUCUUAAGGAACGCAAACUACGUGAAAGUGUACUGCGACCACAAAGGGGGUGUAGCGUGGAUCGUGCGGGAACGACCACUUCUUGGCUAUGCAUCCACCUCUCUGAAUCUCAUUUACGCGGACCACAGAAAAGAGUUGAGCAACCGCGGAGUGCGAGAAUCCUACCGCAGUUAUGUUGCCUUCAGCCUGAAUAUACAAUGUCUCUGAACCUCCUAGUGCGGCCACAGUCAUUUUAGCGCGGUUCGCACUAGGCCUUCUCUCCUUAGAUUUCUUGGUCUUUGAUACUUGAGCAUGUUUCGCUCCUUUUUGAGCCGAUCUUUGACAUUUUGUCGCUCAAACCUGCAAUCAAGCACAACCUGUCAGCAUUUUGGGACUUUUUUGUAGCAAAUUAUACUCAAAGUAUAAGUAAGUACGGGCAUAAAAUACGUUAAAAUCCUAACUUAUCAUUAAUAUCUUUCCUUAAUUAUUUUUUACCAGUUUGAAAUUAGAAUCCCUUAAUCAAGGUAAACCUUGUUUAAUUGAUUUUCAAACUAUUUUCUUACCUAUUUUUGCUUGCUUUCUACACCAUAAAUACAUUGCCUUCUUAAACACAACACACGAUCAACACACAUUACACACUUUAAGCACUUAUAAUCUCACAGUUCUCUUCUAAACUCAUUGCAUUCUGACUACUUAUUUACACUUUGCUUUUACAAGACUGCUGCUUUCUUUUACUUGUCUCCUUGAUACUGGUACGUUCUAGUUUUGGUUUAAGCAUCAUCCUCAUGUGUUUGCUUACAGCUUUACAUCCAUGUAUAUUUACUAUUUAUAAGGAGUUUUAUCGUGUUAAUUUAUUUUGUUGUGAGUCCUUGCACCUAUGUUUCCCCUAUGUGCUUUGAGUUGUAGUGAAGAACAUGGCAAUAUUCCAGUUAUUGUUCAUGUUUGGACUUGAUCCCUCAGGGGAUCCUAACUCCCAAAACAAUGUGUUCUAACAAGCUGGUGAGGUGUGCCAGCAUUUUCUAUUGCUAGGUAUGACCACUAGCAUAUCUUUGCCAUUCCCCCCUUUCCAAAGUUCCUUCUAUCCACUCACACUCAUUACUAGCUUCUAAGUUUUGCCCCCUCCUGUGAGCCAUGCCUUGGGGCCUUGAGUUCCCUCUAAACUUGGACACUUGAGGGCUGGCCCUUCCACACUGCACUAUGUCUCAAUCGUGCAAUGUAUUUAGGUGUGAGCACUGCCCGGAGUCCAUUUGAGGCUCUUAGUGAACUCUGACACACGCCAAAUGAGAAAGGAUUUGGAUUGUGAUCUUUGGAGUUGGUUUGCUUCAUGUUUCAGGCAAGAAACUUGAAUCAGGCUCUCCUUGGUUGUAAUUUAUUUGCUUAUGAUGUAGUUUCCGUAUUUUAUUUUUGGACUGUAAUAAUUCUGUAGUAAACUUCCGGGGUUAUUAGUGAAAAAGGCAAGGGUAACCAGGCAUGCAAAUGAUAGAUAUCAUGCCCAUAGGAAAUUACUGCACUACUGUAUUCAUGUAUCCUACUUACAACUUUGCAUGUCUGCAUCCACAUAGAUAUCUUGUUCAUAGGGUUUUCUGCAUUUCUGCGUCUAUGUAGAUACCAUGUCUAUACAGAAUUCUGCAUUAUCACAAAUAGAUACCAUGUCUAUAAGAAAUUUUGCAUCACAUAUAGAUACCAUGUCUAUAAGGCAUUUUGCAUAUCACAUAUAGAUACCACGUCUAUAAGGAAUUCUGCAUUAUCACAUGUAGAUACCAUGUCUAUAUUGAAUUCUGCAUUAUCACAUAUAGAUACCAUGUCUAUAAGAAAUCAUGAUCCUACAUAUGCAUUGGUCACUAGGCAAACCUGUUUGUAGGAUUUAAAACUAAACAAUAUUCAGAUAUCAUGCCCAUAGGAUUUUUGCACUCUUAUUACGCUUGUAAAAAGUGUUUAAAGACAAUAACACCUAGAGAGCAUGCAUAUAGGAACCAUCAAUCGAACCCGAGUCAUUCAUUCGUUUAUAAGGCUAAAAUCAGUAAUGAUAAUGUUUAACGUUUGCAGAAUUUAUGCUCGCUCGCCUUCCUUGGUCAAUUGACAACUUCUUUUCCUAAAUCAACAUACUUCUUUUCUGAAACCGAUAGAUGUCAUGCCUAUAGUUUUUUGUUUAGCACUUAAGCAAGCCAUAAGGUAACCUAUAAAUUGAAUCAGAUUUUAUCAACUACAACCAGCAGACAGGCCUAAUUCGGGCUUCUUAUCUGAAAUAUGUAAUAGACCGGUGUGCCAUAACUCUUAAGUUUAAUCAGACCCUAAUCAGUACGUGUAAGACAUGCUAAACUAUAUGCUUCCUUUUGCUUUUAAGGAGGUUGUCUGAGCCUUUCUAUCCGUUAUGUGUUUCUCCCCAUAUUUGUUACAUAUGUGUUUUGACUGUCGCCUUAAAAUUUUGUCCUUUGAUACUGUAACACCUUACACCCCUUCCCUUUAGGAUUAGUAGUCCCAAAUACCUCCGGGACUGAUAGGAUUAAGACGGGUAAUAGCAUGCAAUAAGUAAAACGAUAUCAUUCCACGUUUAAUACCUUAACGGGAAGGAAAGAGUAGAUAUAGAUAUGAUGACCAUGCCAUAACACCACGUGUAUAAAUGGUUACCGGGUGUUGUGUGGGGUGAUCCAUAUUAUUUAUAAACCUAGGACCUCCCGCCCCUUUACUUGUUUAUUUUAUUCAAAAUUUCAAAACUAUUGUUAUCUCAAAUUUCAGCCUUUAACUUCCUUUAACUUCAAUUACAUAUAAGAAUUAUGUGAAAACCCCAUCAUAUUUGUAACUCUUACUUGUCUACUUGUUGUUUGCACCAAAAGCCACAAUUAUAGUAUAGCUAGGAACCACACUAGUGGAUCUUAAGAGGUGUCUAACACUUUACCCUCGGGAUAAUUUCGAGCCCUUACGCAAUCUCUAGUUUUCUAAAUCAACGAUCUUCUUAAUAUCCUAAUGCACUUAAUCAUAAGGUGGCGACUUUUCAAUUCAAACCCAAUUCCCAAAAGGGAACAAGUUGUCCUGCCAAAUGUCAUAAAUGCAAUUUCACGAGAAAAAGGAGGAAUUGAUACCAUACUAUCACUCAAUUCAGGAUCUCGGCCUCACUCAGUCAAAACUCUCCAGUACCACACACGAUCUCAAAGUGUCUCUAUACUAUAGCCCGGACAACAAAAUGAUGUGUCAAAUAACAAUAAUUGAGACUAGGGCAUGAUAUAAUAUACAUAAACAUGAUUGAGUAUAGAAUAUCAAUAAAGCUAAUGAUAUGACAGCAAGAAAUGACCUCUCGAGCCUCAACAGUAUUGGUGUAAACCCUUAACAUGAUAAUUUGCAUGAGCCACAACUCAUUAACUAAAUCACAUAAUUACAACACAGAUAUCAACAAGAAAGAGUCGCUAACCGGUGCCUUGGAAUGAUCUAGGCCGCAAUUCUCACGGUGCACGCCCACGCGCCCAUCACGUGGCAUUUUCUUCACCUCAAUCGUAAUCAUAGAACAUAUAGUUCGAGGUUUCGAACCCUCAAAACUAGGUUUGGAAGCGUUACUUACCUCAAGCCAAGCCAAACUCUAGCCUGCGGCGCCCUUGCCUCUCGAUUUGGCCUCCAAAUGCCUCGAAUCCAACUGAGAACCUUUGAUUCCCCUUGAAAUAUCACUACCCUAGCUCAUUUCUCGUCUUCAAAAAUGGAGAAACAUAGCAAAAUUCGUAAAGAGGACCUUUUUAUACCUUCUGCCCAAUGAUUUUGCACAUGCGGUCCAUUUCUUGCACCGGCGUGACCGCUUCUACGCUCCAUCCAACCGUUUCUUGGUUUUUAAUUAAAUUUCCCUAACUACACAUGCGACUCUAUAUACGCACCUUCGGUCAUGCAGGUGUGUUCCUUUCACCACACCUGCAACUUAUUUCCUUUCCACUUAUGGCCGCAUCUGCAGUUGAUUCUCGUUGUUGCGAUCAUCGCACCUGCGGUCCCCUAAUCGCAGGUGCAGUUAUGACAGAACCAAUAGCUUCAGCUGCAUCCUCAAAUUUCCAAACUUUUUGUUAACCAUCCGAAAGCAUCCCGAGGCCUCUAGGACCUCAACAAAAAAGACGAACAAGUCAUAUAACACUAUUCAAACUUGUACCAAUCCUCGAAACACUCAAAAAUGUCAAAACACCAAAUUACCCUCAUAUUCAAGCCUAAGGAUUCCAAAUCUUCCAAAUUCCACAAACAAUUAAAAAAUCUACCCAACCUCCUCUGAAUGACCUAAAAUUUUGCACAUACGUCACAAAUGACACAAUGGACCUCCUCCAAUUUCUGAAAUUUAAUUUUGACCCCGAUAUCAAAAUCUCCACUACCAACCGAAAAAUGCCAAAUUUUCAAUUUCUCCAAUUCAAGUUUAAAUCUAUCAUGGACCUCUAAAAUACAUUCUGAUCACACUCUUAUGUCUUAAAUAACCCAACAAAGCUAUCUGAACAUUCAAAAUUUACAUCCGAGAUAUUUUACACAUAAGUCAACAUUCGGUUGAUUUUUCCAACUUAAGUUUACUCAAAAGAGGCUAAGUGUCUCAUACCUCUCCAAAAUCACUCUAAACCCGAACCACGCAACCCAAUACCAUAUAAUACAACUGAACAACAUAUAAGGAAGUAGAAAAUGGGAAAAUGGAGUGGUAACUCAUGAAACGACUAGCCAGGUCAUUACACUUACGGAGUUGGCAUACUCACGUUACUCUUUGCACCGUGUGUGCAGAUCCAGGUGCCAGAGCAUCAAAGUGAGAGUUAUUCCUUUCCUUUAGAGCAUUUUUGGAUUUAGAAAGAUAGUUGCAUGACAUUUGCAACCCUGGCUUUCUCUUUCCUAUCUUUUAGCACUUGUUUUCAUCAAACUCAUCUUGUAUUUAGUAGAUACUAUCAGACUGUAUUUUAGUGACUCAUGACUAGUGACACCGAGAUCGGGCAGUGUUUGAUGUUUAAAUAUUUUUCUGUUUGUUUUGAUAUAUUUAGACGAAAGAUUUGUGAUAUUAUCUUAUUAGUAAAUGAAUUAAAAAAAAGACCUUUUAUGUUAUAAAUAUCGAAUCAGCUAGCCUAGUACUGCGAUAGGCGCCAUCACGACCGGGGGAUUUGUGGUCAUGACAAGAAGGUUGUUUGAAGUCAAUGCAUUACUUACCUCUUAUUCCUAUAUUAAAAAGGUUGUACUCAUCGAUGAGUUCCGCUCCUCAUAUGAUAUGGCACUAUGAAAUUAGAAGGCUGUCUGGUGUUAUGUGUCAUCCUUCAUAUGGGGAAGCUUGGAAGUAUUUUGAUACGUCGUAUCCAGAUUAUGCUGGUGAACUGAGGAAUGUUCGGUUGGGUUUGUGUGCUGAUGGUUUCACGUUAUUUUCUAUUUCUACAACACCAUAUUCAUGUUGGUCGGUCAUUAUUACGCCUUAUAAUCUUACCCUUGAAACGUGUAUUACUAGUUGAUAUAGUUUUUUAAAUGAUGUUAUUCCCGGUCUCCGUAAUCCAAAGAGUUUUAUUGUUUUAUAUUUGCAACCUUUGAUUGACGAGCUUAAACAGUUGUGGUAUGUUGGAAUUAGGAUAUAUGAUAUAUCAACUUAGCAAAAUUUCAACUUGCAUGCUAACUUAAUAUGGACCAUUAACAAUUUUCCUGCGUAUGGAAUGUUGUCUGGGUGGACAACUGAGAAAAAGUUAGCAUGUCCUUACUGCGUGGAAAAUGGUAAAGCGUUUACUUUAAGACAUGGCCGAAAGUAGUCAUGGUUUGAUUAUCAUUGCCAGUUCUUGCCAGUUAAUCAUGAGUUCAGAAGGAUGAAGAACGCAUUGAAAAAGAAUACAGUUGAACAUGAUUUUCCACCACCAAUUUAUUCCAGUGAGGAAAUUUGGGAGAGGGUUCAGAACGUUAGUAAAGUUACCUAGGCCCCACCUUUUAGAUUUCCUAGAUAUGGUGUUACUCAUAACUGGACAAAAUAGAGUAUGUUUUGAGAGUUUCCAUACUGGAAGGAUAAUCUUUUCCGACACAAUCUUGAUGUCAUGCAUAUUGAGAAGAACUAUUUCGACAAUUAUUUCAACACAGUGAUGGAUGAUAAUAAUAAGAAAAAAGAUAACCCAAAGGCUAGAGAGGACUUACAAUAGUAUUGUAGGCGACCUGUUUGCAAUCUAGGAACAAUGGUAAUGUGUUCAAGCCCAAGGCCAGCUACACAUUCACUUUGGAACAAAGACGACAGAUUUAUGAGUAGGUUAGAAACCUAAAGAUGCUCGAGGGUUAUGCAUCAAACCUGGGAAAACGUGCCGAUAUGCAUGAGGGAAAGCUAACUUAUAUGGAAACAAAUGAUUGUCAUAUAUUCAUGGAAACCUUAAUCCAUAUUGCAUUUUGUGGUUUGCCUCAAAAUAUAUGGAAACCCAUCACAGAGAUAAAUUUUAUUUUUCAAACACUUAUGUCUACCACAUUAAGGGAAGAAAAUCUAUUUCAAAUGAAUUGGAACAUUCAUGUAAUCAGUAAUAAGCUUGAAAGGAUUUUUCCAUGUGGUUUCUUUGAUGUGAUAGAAUACCUUCCAAUUCACCUUGUAAACGAGGCGCGAUUGGAGGCCCGGUUCAAUGUAGGUGGAUGUAUCCAUUCGAGAGGUAAUGAUCAAACCUUGAUUUAUUCUUGUAAUUUUCAUUAACGUUAUCAUCUAAUAUGAUAAUGUGCAGGACUAUCGGCAAAUGUAAAUUAUUUGUUAUGUAGAGGAAUAGGAUUGAAGGAUCUAUAUGCAAAGCUUAUGUUGCAAAGGAAAGUACCUAUUUUUGUUCUUACUACUUUGACACUCAUGUUCCAUAUGCUAGAAAUAGGCACAAUUAGAAUAAUAUUGUGGUUGAGAUUGAUCCAUUAUAUCCACCAAUGUCCAUAUUCAAUCAACCAGGCCAAGGUUCUAAAGAUCUAACAAAAAGAGGCCUAAGUAGUAUGGAGUACAAAUCAGCUUCAAAUCAUGUGUUGCUAAAUUGUCCGGAAGUUCAACCCUUUCUUAAUUAAGUGUAGACGUAAGAUUAAUUUACAUGGGCUACUAUUUUAUUUGGUUGAUGAAACUAACAAAUAAUUUUCAAUGUAUCGCUCAGUGACUUCGUGAGUCCAUUUGGUCAUGCUGCUGUAUAUUAUACAUUUGAGGCAUGGUUUAAAGAAUGUGUAAGUGCAUCUUACAUACUUUCUCACAUGUUAUUAAUUUACAUGGGCUACUAUUUAAUUUGGUUGAUACAACUAACAAAUAAUUCUCAAUGCAUCGCUCGGUAACUUCGAGUCAAUUUGGUCAUGGUGCUGUACAUUCUACAUUUGUGGCAUGGUUUAAAAAGUGUGUAAGUGCAUCUUGCAUACUUUCUUAUAUGUGAAUAUACAUACUUGUGAAUAUACUUCACUUGUGAUUUAUUUAACACUACAUGCAGGCUAAUAAUCCAAACAACGGUGUUAAUCCAUUUUUGAAAGACAUAUCUUGGGGAUAUGUACCUACGGUAACGACUAUGAGUAAGUAUUAUGUGAAUGGUUACAAAUUUCACACCGAGGAAUGCUCCUAGUAUUAAAAUAAGCAAUAACAAUGGGGUAUGUGUUAAAGGUGGUGAAGGCAACCAGAAUAGGAAAAAAAAUUAUUUUUGUAUGAUCAAAGAGAUUCUAGAAUUGUCAUAUUCAGUUUGGCCAAAUAAGAAGAUCAUACUUCUCCGAUACAAGUGGCUUGACCCAACACCUAGAAGAGGUACAAAUGUACAUUCGUAGUACAACAUAAUUGAGGUUAAUAAAAAGAGGGAGUAUGAUCGCUAUGAUCAUUUUAUAAUUGUAGAAAGAGUUAGGCAAGUGUACUAUGCUCCAUAUCCAUUGCGGAGGCAUAAGGCUAAUUGGUUGGUUGUAAUCAAAACAAAGCCUGUUGGUAAGGUGAAAUUUGAGAAUGUGCUCGAUGUUGCUUACCAAAAAGAUACCUCAAGUAUUAACUAAAUGGUGGAUGAUCAGUUAGAAAAUUACUUGGAGCAUCCUCAACGCAUAUUAGAAGAAGUUGAUAUGGAGGAAAUAAAAAUCAUAGAAAAUGAGGAUGAAGAUGAAAAUGUAAUAAGUGAAGAGGAAGAAUCUUCAGACGACGAAGGAUGCGUCGAUGAAGACGACUAGCCUGUUAGUUUUUUCAAGCGCUCUUAACUUAUAUUACUACUAAUAACAGGACAAACACAUGGAGGAAAUAACAAUCAUAGAAAAUGAGGAUGAAGAAUCACCUAAUAAAAAUGAAAUAAGUGAAGAGGAAGGAUUUUCAGACGAGGAAGGCUACGUCGAAGACGACUAGCAUGUUAGUUUUUUUUCAAGCUCUCUCAACUUAUAUAGAUUUAUAUUCUCAAUUCUAAUAUUAUCUUUAAUUCUUACAGAUGAUCGGUCAGGGUCAAGGUAG